CUCCCAAGAAUGACAAGCUAUUCUAUUCUAGGAAACAGCUGAAAGCUCCAGAGGCUCCUGAAGACCAAACUGCCCUGUGGAUGCCUACUCGUGGCAGUGACAUGGCCAGCUUCCAUCAGAAGGGAAUACAGGAUUCCCUUUGGGCAGUAACUUCUGCACCUGUUGACAUUCUGAAGGGAUUUUUCUGCUGAAGAACGACUUGGUCCAGCUUUCUGCACUACCAACCACAGGGAAGCAUCGCAUUUCAGUAAUCUUCCUGUCAUUUAUCAGUUGGAAGAAGAGCCUGGGGACCCCCUGUGGAGGAAUAUAAAAAAAAAAAAUCUGUGAAGUUUGAACAAGCAGCUUUCUCGAGAUGUACCGAGUCUCUCAACUGACGUCGACACCAGUAGCAAAUUCCUCCAGGUCAGACAGAGGACCUUCUGGAAAGCUGUCUCCCACUCGUCUUUUCCCAAGGUAU